rnacentral:lncRNA from 1 species
CUGAACUACCUGAAAAGAAUCAAUACCCACUGGAUGAGUCAUCACAGCCCAGGCUUCUUCCACAAACACAGCUGGGGAGGGCUGCUUAAUGCAGUGUCCAUUAAGGUUAACGGGCACUUCCAAUAGGGUUUUUUCACGUUUCCCUUGACCAAGUUCAACUCACACUUCAUCCAGACAGCACUUCUCCUUCCUGCCGCCAUGUGAAGAAAGAUGUGCUUGCUUCCCCUUCUGCUAUGAUCAUAAGUUUCUUGAGGCCUCCCCAGCCCUGCAGAACAUCUCACUCUGUUGCCCAGCCUGGAUUGCAGUGACAUGAUCACAGCUCACUACAACCUCAACCUCCCUGGGAUCAAGCUAUCCUCCCAUCUUAGCUUCCCAAGUCAUUGGGACUACAGGGAAUGUGCCGCUGUGCCCAGCCAAACUGGAUCUUCAGUAUGUUUAUGUAACUUUCCGGGAGCAGAGUGUUUUCAGCUUUGGAGCUUCAAUCGAACUUUUGAGACAAGAAGGAAAUAUUUUCCCUUUUCCAAAUUCUUCUUCAUCUCUGACUUAGAGAAUGGCCCAGUCAAUUCCAGGGUCCUUGUCUCCACAAAUGGAAGUGCAAUUUAUGAAAGCUCAAUCCUGCUGCUAUGUGAAAACAUCUACAGUCACAGAGAAGAAAACAAAAUGCUGGGAUGAGACAAAGUACCAGUUACAGCAUGUGACUGAGAAGGAGCAGGCAGCAAUCUUUGCUGUUCUGCAGCCUCCGCUGGUGAUACCCAGGAAAACAGGAUCUGGAGUGGACCUCCAGCAAACUCCAACAGACUGGUGGCAGAGGGGCCUGACUGUGAGGAGGGAAACUAACAAACAGAAAGGAACAACAUCAACAUCAACAAAAAGGACUUCCACAGGCAACCUACAGAAUGGGAGAAAAUUUUUGCAAUCUACUCAUCUGACAAAAGUCUAAUAUCCAGAAUCUACAAAGAACUUAAACAAAUUUAUAAGAAAAAAAUAACCCCAUCAAAAAGUGGGCAAGGGAUAUGAAUGGACACUUUUCAAAAGAAGACAUUUAUGUGGCCAACAAGCAUAUGAAAAAAAGCUCAUCACCACUGGUCAUUAGAGAAAUGCAAAUCAAAACCACAAUGAGAUACCAUCUCAUACCAGUUAGAAUGGUGAUCAUUAAAAAGUCAGGAAAAAACAGAUGCUGGAGAGGAUAUGAAUAAAUAGGAACACUUUUACACUAUUGGUGGGAGUAUAAAUUAGUUCAACCAUUGUGGAAGACAGUGUGGUGAUUCCUCGAGGAUCUAGAACUAGAAAUACCAUUUGACCCAGCAAUCCCAUUACGGGGUAUAUACCCAAAGGAUUAUAAAUCAUUCUACUAUAAAGACACAUGCACACGUAUAUUUAUUGUGACACUGUUCACAAUAGCAAAGACUUGGAACCAACUCAGAUGCCCAUCAAUGAUAGACUGGAUAAAGAAAAUGUGGCACAUAUAUACCAUGGAAUACUAUGGCAGCCAUAAAAAAGGAUGAGUUCAUGUCCUUUGCAGGGACAUAGAUGAAGCUGGAAACCAUCAUUCUCAGCAAACUAACACAAGAACAGAAAAACCAAACACUGCAUUGUAGAGAGCCAGCAAAGGGAUUGUGACCAACUCAGCAUUCCACUGAGACUAUAUGAUCAAACAGCAAACUGUUUAUCAUGAAUGCAGGAUGUGGGCAAACUAACAUCUGCUCCAGCUGCCAGAAGGUUUGCUGAAGGCAAUCACUCCCUGGUGCCAUGCUCCUUAGGGUUAUCUACUGGGACAUCUAGAGCCUAUUCGCAGAAUGCAGUCUUGCAAGCCUGCUGUGAAUCAAACUGCUGACUGACAAUCACCCCCACCUUCUCGUUAUCUCUUUUACCUAAUAAAUACAGAGGGCUGAAAAAGCUCAGGGCCCUUGUUCACUAGAAACAAGGAGCCCCCUGACCCCUUCUUCCAAAUAUACUCUUUUGUCUUUAUCUUUAUUCCUGUGUUCGUCCUCCUUUGUUCAGUCCAACAGGGAUAGGGUCGGUGGCACUGCAUGUUCUCACUCAUAAGUGGGAGUUGAACAAUGAGAAC